rnacentral:lncRNA from 1 species
UUUUAAUUAUCAAAUUGCAUGUGGUUAUGAGUUUGGUGGUUAUAUUAAAAUUCCUCUGGGAGAGAGGUCAAGCUAUUAAAUUAAUCCAAUAUAUACCUUUAAUGAUUUCCGGUUACUGGACCAAAGAUAUACUGUUUUGGGAGAGGCUCUGUAUUGUUGUUGUUGUUGUUGUUGUUGUUGUUGUUGUUGUUGUUGUUUUGACAGAAAAGGAGAAAAGGCUUUGGAUCCCUUCCAGAGUGAUAUGGAUCAUAUUUGACAGGGGAAGACCCUCUAAAGAUCUUGGCUACAGAAAAAAAUUCAAAAUAUUCAAACAGGACAGGAUUCAACACUGGCAAUAUUCGCUGGGCUUGGAGAGCAAGAUUAACAACUAGCAAUCUAUCAUCUUAUAAACUGGCAGUUCCACACAACUGACUCUUUCCCAUUAGCUUCUCCAACACGAGAGGUGCUCCACAGACGGGGAACAAUGCACAUCUCUUGCCAUUGUUAGCAGCUUUUCAUCUUGUUGCAGUGGAGGCUGGGAGAGGCUGAAGAGUUAAUUUUAAUAAGACCAAUCAGCUCAUCUUGACAAUGGAGGGGAAGGAAAGGGGACAGGUAGAUGACUGUAUGUUUUGACAUUGGACCAUUAACAUGCAAAUCACAUGCAAAAUCAUAUGCUAACAACUUUGAGCCUUUGUUUGUGGUUGGACACUUUUCUCCCCCAAACGGACUAAAGCUCUGAUGCAAUUCUACACGGGAAGGCACUUUGUUAGACAUCUCAUGGGCUCAAAGACAAAUAGGAGAUGGUCUCUGAACAGUUGUCCUGACCUGUUUGGGAGAGCCAGGAUGCCUUUUGAUCUCACCUCAUUGCCUGUUCCUUCAAAAGAGAGCGUGAAGUGUGGCAGAGAACAGGAGUCUACAUAAGGCCCAGUGAUUAGGACGAAUGAGAGUGUAGGACAGCCUACACAGACAGCGUCCUUCAUGUCACCCAGAGACUGCUGCAGAGCUCCCAGGGACGAGCCGCAUUAAUUAUGGACUAAUGACGCAUUUGCAUGCACAUUUUUAAAAGCAGUAGUGAACAUAGCCCUAGUAAUUGAGGAUGAGUGAGGUAAGCUGCAUUAAAAUGCUCUGCUGAAUCUCAUCUCAUCCUUUUUUUUUUAAAGACCUCUGUCACCUUGGCACUCAGCAGCAUACAUGGGCAUCCACGCAGUCUGGAGCUUUAUGGUGGCUCUCUAUAGAUCUGGUCACUUUGGCCACCCACUUGAAACUGGUUUCCCUCUCUGCAACCGCUCACAAUCACAAAUGCAAGAUUCUGUAAGGGGUAAAAAUGCAAUAGGCUGACUUUUGGCAUAAGUAGGGAGAUGAUAUGAAACAGAAGGAAUCUUGAUGUUAGGAGAUAAGAAUCACAUAAUGAUACAGCCAUUCACAGUCUAGUACAGUCAAGUAUGAGUCUGAGUGACUCAGAAAUCACAGCCCAAAAGAUCAAUACGGGAAAAGGACUGGUCUCUAUGCAUGGAGCCAAGGAGAUCUCCAAACCACCGUGAUCUCAAAGUACACAGGUGAGCCUCCUCCGAAGAGGGCAUAGGCCCAAGUGAAGCCAUGCAUCCUGGACUCAGGGAUUUGGCCAGCCAUCACGUGGAAGAUAAAUGGCUGUGCAGGAAGUCCUUUCUGCAGAAUACUUUGGUGUUCUAGGCUGAUAAGAAAAUUGAUGUUGUGCGAAUCUUGAUGUGUAUCCUUCCUCUUUGUCUCUCCGCCCUUUCCUCCCCUCUCCCUCCUCUCCCUCUUUUUUCUCUCUUCCUUCCACACUCAUAACUAUGCAUACUCAUAAUUUUGGCAUCAAUGAUGCAUUUGAAGCAAAGGUGAACGUUGGCCCGUAGCCCAUUAGGGCCAUAGCUCUCACCCAGACGUCAUGCUCCUGUAACUCCUUGAAAGCACAACUUUUAAAAAAAUAAAAGCCUUCCUCUUGUGGAAUGA